UUAAAAUAAACCCCGUAGCCACGGAGUGAUCCGUAAGUAGGCAACCUGGACAAAACGGCUUUCCUUGCCAGCUGGAAGAAAAGGAUAGCGCCUAAAGUAACCGUAAAAUAAGUUUCAUGAAUUCGAAAGAAACUUGCAGUGAAUUCUGGGUACCUGGAUUUGUUUUCUAGUGUAUUUGCCUGUUAGCUGCCAUCCUGAUAUUUUCAUUUCUGAUGACAACUAUCACGGAACACUGCUAGAACUCAGAGCCAGCCUGUGACGGGGCCAGGUAACUUCUACAUACUUAGCUAAAAUGUUUUUUUCUUGCCUGCCAUUCUCCAUUUAGUGUCUUUGUA
rnacentral:lncRNA from 1 species